AGCCACUGCUAUCGGGCUCCGACUAAGCCAUGCGAGUCUAGGGGCUCCUUCGGGAGCACCGGCGGACGGCUCAGUAACACGUGGACAACCUACCCUCGGGUGGGGGAUAACCUCGGGAAACUGAGGCUAAUACCCCAUAGGCCUCGGGUACUGGAAGGUCCCGAGGCUGAAAGCUCCGGCGCCCGAGGAUGGGUCUGCGGCCUAUCAGGUAGUUGGUGGUGUAAAGGACCACCAAGCCUGCGACGGGUACGGGCCCUGAGAGGGGGAGCCCGGAGAUGGACUCUGAGACACGAGUCCAGGCCCUACGGGGCGCAGCAGGCGCGAAACCUUCGCAAUGCGCGAAAGCGCGACGAGGGGAGCCCGAGUGCCAUUCCUUCGGGGAGGGCUUUUCCCGAGCCUAAAAAGCUCGGGGAAUAAGGGCUGGGCAAGACGGGUGCCAGCCGCCGCGGUAAUACCCGCAGCUCGAGUGGUGGCCACUAUUAUUGAGCCUAAAGCGUCCGUAGCCGGACCCGUAAAUCCCUGGGUAAAUCCUGGCGCUUAACGUCGGGAAUUCCGGGGAGACUGCGGGUCUUGGGACCGGGAGAGGCCGGAGGUACUCCAGGGGUAGGGGUAAAAUCCUGUAAUCCCUGGGGGACCACCUGUGGCGAAAGCGUCCGGCUUGAACGGCUCCGACGGUGAGGGACGAAGGCCAGGGGAGCAAACCGGAUUAGAUACCCGGGUAGUCCUGGCUGUAAACGCUGCCCGCUUGGUGUUGUCGGUCUUUCGGGGGCCGGCAGUGCCGGAGCGAAGGUGUUAAGCGGGCCGCUUGGGGAGUACGGCCGCAAGGCUGAAACUUAAAGGAAUUGGCGGGAGAGCACUGCAACGGGAGGAGCGUGCGGUUU
rnacentral:rRNA from 1 species